rnacentral:rRNA from 2 species
AACGCCGGCGGUGUGCCUAAUACAUGCAAGUCGUACGCACUGGCCCAACUGAUUGAUGGUGCUUGCACCUGAUUGACGAUGGAUUACCAGUGAGUGGCGGACGGGUGAGUAACACGUAGGUAACCUGCCCCGGAGCGGGGGAUAACAUUUGGAAACAGAUGCUAAUACCGCAUAACAACAAAAGCCACAUGGCUUUUGUUUGAAAGAUGGCUUUGGCUAUCACUCUGGGAUGGACCUGCGGUGCAUUAGCUAGUUGGUAAGGUAACGGCUUACCAAGGCGAUGAUGCAUAGCCGAGUUGAGAGACUGAUCGGCCACAAUGGAACUGAGACACGGUCCAUACUCCUACGGGAGGCAGCAGUAGGGAAUCUUCCACAAUGGGCGCAAGCCUGAUGGAGCAACACCGCGUGAGUGAAGAAGGGUUUCGGCUCGUAAAGCUCUGUUGUUGGAGAAGAACGUGCGUGAGAGUAACUGUUCACGCAGUGACGGUAUCCAACCAGAAAGUCACGGCUAACUA